rnacentral:rRNA from 1 species
GAUAAUUUUAACGGCCGCGGUAUCCUAACCGUGCGAAGGUAGCAUAAUCACUUGUUCUUUAAAUGGGGACUCGUAUCAACGGCAUCACGAGGGCCAUACUGUCUCCUUUCUCUGAUCAGUGAAACUGAUCUCCCCGUGAAGAAGCGGGGAUCUAACUAUUAGACGAGAAGACCCCAUGGAGCUUAAAACACAUCAUAUAUUUCUAUAUUUUAUAUCAUCCCAGUUAAGAGACCUAUAUGAUAGUUUUAGGUUGGGGGGACCUCGGAGUAUAAUUAAACCUCCAUAACAAAUGGGCUAACACCCUUAUCCAAGAAAAACACCUCUAAGAAUUAUUAAAUUAAUGUUUAAUGAUCCGAUAAUUCGAUCAAUGAACCAAGUUACCCUGGGGAUAACAGCGCAAUCUACUUCAAGAGUCCCUAUCGACAAGUAGGUUUACGACCUCGAUGUUGGAUCAGGGUAUCCCAGUGGUGCAACCGCUACUAAUGGUUCGUUUGUUCAACGAUUAAAACCCUACGUGAUCUGAGU